AGCUCGUAGGCGGCUUGUCGCGUCUGCUGUGAAAUCCCGGGGCUCAACCCCGGGCCUGCAGUGGGUACGGGCAGGCUAGAGUGCGGUAGGGGAGAUUGGAAUUCCUGGUGUAGCGGUGGAAUGCGCAGAUAUCAGGAGGAACACCGAUGGCGAAGGCAGAUCUCUGGGCCGCUACUGACGCUGAGGAGCGAAAGCAUGGGGAGCGAACAGGAUUAGAUACCCUGGUAGUCCAUGCCGUAAACGUUGGGAACUAGAUGUAGGGCCUGUUCCACGGGUUCUGUGUCGUAGCUAACGCAUUAAGUUCCCCGCCUGGGGAGUACGGCCGCAAGGCUAAAACUCAAAGGAAUUGACGG
rnacentral:rRNA from 1 species